CUACGGGCCGCAGCAGUGAGGGAUUUUGCGCAAUGGGGGGAACCCUGACGCAGCAAUGCCGCGUGAGUGAAGAAGGCUUUUGGGUCGUAAAGCUCUGUCGACAGGGAAGAAGUUAUUUUGUAUUAAUAGUAUGAGAUAUUGACGGUACCUGUAGAGGAAGCACCGGCUAACUCCGUGCCAGCAGCCGCGGUAAUACGGGGGGUGCAAGCGUUAUUCGGAAUGAUUGGGCGUAAAGAGCGCGUAGGCGGAUUUGUCAGUCAGAUGUGAAAUUCCAGGGCUUAACCUUGGGCGUGCAUUUGGACAGCAAGUCCUGAGUACGGUAGAGGGAAGUGGAAUUCCUGGUGUAGAGGUGAAAUUCGUAGAUAUCAGGAGGAACACCGAAGGCGAAGGCAGCUUCCUGGUCCGAUACUGACGCUGAAGUGCGAAGGCGUGGGUAGCAAACAGGAUUAGAUACCCCAGUAGUC
rnacentral:rRNA from 1 species